rnacentral:rRNA from 1 species
UUACCAUGCAGUCGAACGAUGAACCUGGAGCUUGCUCUGGGGGAUUAGUGGCGAACGGGUGAGUAACACGUGAGCAACCUGCCCCUGACUCUGGGAUAAGCGCUGGAAACGGCGUCUAAUACUGGAUAUGUGACGUGACCGCAUGGUCUGCGUUUGGAAAGAUUUUUCGGUUGGGGAUGGGCUCGCGGCCUAUCAGCUUGUUGGUGAGGUAAUGGCUCACCAAGGCGUCGACGGGUAGCCGGCCUGAGAGGGUGACCGGCCACACUGGGACUGAGACACGGCCCAGACUCCUACGGGAGGCAGCAGUGGGGAAUAUUGCACAAUGGGCGGAAGCCUGAUGCAGCAACGCCGCGUGAGGGAUGACGGCCUUCGGGUUGUAAACCUCUUUUAGCAGGGAAGAAGCGAGAGUGACGGUACCUGCAGAAAAAGCGCCGGCUAACUACGUGCCAGCAGCCGCGGUAAUACGUAGGGCGCAAGCGUUAUCCGGAAUUAUUGGGCGUAAAGAGCUCGUAGGCGGUCUGUCGCGUCUGCUGUGAAAUCCCGAGGCUCAACCUCGGGCUUGCAGUGGGUACGGGCAGACUAGAGUGCGGUAGGGGAGAUUGGAAUUCCUGGUGUAGCGGUGGAAUGCGCAGAUAUCAGGAGGAACACCGAUGGCGAAGGCAGAUCUCUGGGCCGUAACUGACGCUGAGGAGCGAAAGGGUGGGGAGCAAACAGGCUUAGAUACCCUGGUAGUCCACCCCGUAAACGUUGGGAACUAGUUGUGGGGUCCUUUCCACGGAUUCCGUGACGCAGCUAACGCAUUAAGUUCCCCGCCUGGGGGAGUACGGCCGCAAGGCUAAAACUCAAAGGAAUUGACGGGGACCCGCACAAGCGGCGGAGCAUGCGGAUUAAUUCGAUGCAACGCGAAGAACCUUACCAAGGCUUGACAUACACGAGAACGGGCCAGAAAUGGUCAACUCUUUGGACACUCG